rnacentral:rRNA from 1 species
AGUGAACGCUGGCGGUAUGCCUAACACAUGCAAGUCGAACGGCAGCACAGUAAGAGCUUGCUCUUACGGGUGGCGAAUGGCGGGCGGGUGACGAAUACAUCGGAAUCUACUUUUUCGUGUGAGAUCACGUAAGGAGAGUUACGCUAAUACCGCAUACGACGUACGGUGGAAAGCAUGGGAUCUUCUGACCUUGCGCGGUUGGAUUAGCCGCUGUCGGAUUAGCUAGUUGGCUGGGUAAAGACCCACCAAGUCGACGAUCCGCAGCUGGUGUGGGAGGAUGAUCAGCCACACUGGAACUGAGACAGGGUCCAGAGUCCUAAGGGAGGGAGCAGUGGGGAAUAUUGGGCAAUGGGGGCAAGCCUGACCCAGCCAGACCGAGUGUGUGAAGAAGGCCCUCGGGUUGUAAAGACGUUUUGUUGGGAAAGAACAGCAGCAGGUUAAGACGCAGCUGUUGUGACGGUACCGAAAAAAUAAGCACCGGCUAACUUCGUG